rnacentral:rRNA from 1 species
GAUGAACGCUGGCGGCGUGCCUAAUACAUGCAAGUCGAACGAAAAGACGCGGAGCUUGCUCCUCUGACGUUAGCGGAGGACGUGUGAGUCACACGUGGAUAACCUACCUAUAAGACUGGGAUAACUUCGGGACACCGGAGCUAAUACCGGAUAAUAUAUUGCACCGCAUGGUUCAAUGGUAAAAUACGGUUUUGCUGUCACUUCUCGCUGGUUACGCGCCGCAUUAGCUAGUUGGUAAGGUAACGGCUUACCACGGCAACCAUUCGUAGCCGACCGGAGAGGCUGAUCGGCGACACUGGAACUGAGACACGGUCCAUACUCCUACGGGAGGCAGCAGUAGGGAAUCUUCCGCAGUGGGCGAAAGCCUGACGGAGCAACGCCACGUGAGUUAUGAAGAUCUUCGGAGCGUAAAACCCGGUUAUUAGGGAAGAACAAAUGUGGAAUUAACUAUACACGGCUUGACGGUACCUAAUAAAAAAGCCACGGCUAACUACGUG